GUGCUGGCUUCUGUAGCACUUAUACUAAAACUGGAACGGUCCAGGGAAGGUGAGCACGGCCCCUGCACAAGGGUGACAGCCAAGCUCAGAAAGCCUUCUUUGCUUUC